rnacentral:tRNA from 1 species
AGGUUUUUAAUCUAAGAUAAUUGAUUUCAACUCAAUAAAUCAUGGUUCUACCCCAUGAAUAUCUU